AGCGAACGCUGGCGGCGUGCCUAACACAUGCAAGUCGAACGUGAAAGGGAGCAAUCCCAAGUAAAGUGGCGUACGGGUGAGUAACACGCAGGUAAUCUACCCCAGAAUCUGGAAUAACCGGCCGAAAGGCUGGCUAAUACUGGAUAGAGCGACGGAAUCCGUAAUUGGGUUUUUCGGGAAAGGGAGCCUGUAAAAAGGCCUUCGUUCUGGGAUGAGCCUGCGUCCCAUCAGCUAGUUGGUGAGGUAAAAGCUUACCAAGGCAAUGACGGGUAGCUGGUCUGAGAGGACGAUCAGCCACACUGGAACUGAAACACGGUCCAGACUCCUACGGGAGGCAGCAGUGGGGAAUCUUGCGCAAUGGACGAAAGUCUGACGCAGCAACGCCGCGUGAGUGAAGAAGGCCUUCGGGUUGUAAAGCUCUGUCGAGUGGGACGAAAAUGCUUGGAGUUCACAGCUCCAGGAACUGACGGUACCACUAAAGGAAGCACCGGCUAACUCCGUG
rnacentral:rRNA from 1 species